UGUAAAAAUGAUUUUUAACCUCCUUUAACAUUUUUUUGAGUCAAAUUGUUUUCCCCUCUCUAUGGGGGUCAUGUGUGGGAGACUGGUGAUGGGUGAUUGGAUCUGAGGGCUGUUGUAGCCAUGGAGAGGGAGAGUUAGUCAGCUAGGAAAACUAGCAGCUAGAGAGAAAGAGUGAGAUAAGGAGAAGGACCAGAAAGGUGAAGCCAGCAUGCCUUUUGAGAAGGACCAGGGGAAGAAUCAUGGCACCAUGACUGGGGCUAUGACUUCCUUUAUUGUGACUAAAAGAAAGAGUUUUAUAGAGAGAAAAAUCCUAAGCACAACAACAUUCUUGGGGGCUGGAUGUGCUACUCUCCCACAGGAUAAUGUUUAUGAAAAUGACUCCACAUAUGAACAUUACCAGGGUUGCUAUUAUAGAGAUAAGACAACACCAGAGGACAACAACAGGGUUCAACAUAGACCAGGUUUAACACAGAGUGAUCGUGUUCUAAAAUCAUUGUUGUUCUGGGAUUAACUGCUGCUCAGACCCUUCUUGGCAGUGAGUUGUUGAAAAGUCCUCGAGUGUCUCUUGGCUAAAGCUGUUUCUUUCCAUCUCUCCAGGUCUUUCAAUCUCUCCUCUGGCUGCACUUGUGCUCUCUUACAUUGGGAUGUAUCCUCAGGCCUUGUCAAAGUUCUUUUUACAUCCAUCCUGGCUUUUGUGUCGAAUUGAUUCUGUUUCUGGUUCCUGCAAUCUUUUUGGAAAUGAAAUAUACUGGGCUGACUCUUUGGAAAGGCACCUACGGUGCUCCGGAAUGGUUUGGUGUUUGGCUUGGUGGGGCUGUGAUCCGUUGGUCCCACUUUUCACCUGCUCACUUGUGUCUUUUGUGUCCCUAAAGAAUUGCUCUUGGCCAGGAGUCUUGUGAGUGGCGUGGAUGAGCUGGUGGGGGAUCCCUGCUGCUGGAGGAGAAUCUGAUUGGAGCAUGUCUGUUUCUGGCUACUUCAGCUGCCAUGUGUGAUUGGAUCUGAGGGCCAUUGUAGCCUUGGAGAGUGAGAGUUAGCCUGCUAGGGAGACUAGCAACGAGAAAGAGAGAGACCAGGAAAAGGACAGGAAAGUGCAGCCAGUAUGCCUCCUGAGAAGGGCAGAGUGUGGAAGAAUCACAGCAUCUCUCCCUUCUUCCCCUUCCCCUUCUCUGAGUGGUGAAAUAACUAUACUGAAAUAAUGUAUAUAAAUCUAACUAAGACAAUAGUUCACUUUCAGAUAAGGGAAGGAAGGGAUGUGGGAUGAUCUAUCUAAAACGCAAGUCAAGUGGUGACCUCCGCCAUUUAAUACUUUACUACCUACAAAUCUACUUGCUUCAUCUAGUGAAAUGAAUCCCCCUUAGUUAAUAUAUAAAAGUGGGAAGGAAUUGAAGGUAGGAGGACCAGGAUUCAAAGGAAGGUCUCACUGACAGUUGUCCUCUGGAGUCUUGAGCAUCUCUGUUGGAAAUCAGUCUCAGCAGCAGCAGGGACCCAGAAGAACAGACUGGAUCACCAGG
rnacentral:lncRNA from 1 species